GUCCCUGUAGCGUUAUGAAUAGCGCGUUGGACUCCUAAUCCAAAGGUCGUGGGUUCGAAUCCCGCCUGGGAUG